AAGAGAUGAAGGACCCGUAGUGAAAAAGGUCCAGAGUGAAGAGAAAGAGGCAAAGAAAGACAGCCACGGACCAGAUGUGAUCACUCAGUCACCAGUUCAAGAAUCUGAAAACUUCAUUUGAAAUGAAGAACAGCUUCCUCGUCGUGUUUUCUCCUGCAAAGCAAUCCAGCAGAUUUCCUGCAAAAUCAUACCGGGAGGUUACUGCAGACCCAGGGACAUAAGAUAGAGGUGUGACUCAAACUUUGAAAAUGUCUAAUUACAUUUUUAGAACAAACAUUGUAGUUCAUGAAACAAAAAAAUGGUCUUUGUGUGAAGUGUGUGAAAUGUUAUUCUUAAGAAAACUUGUGCAAAGGUUUAAUAACUCUGUUUACCACCAUCAGGGCGGUGGUGGCAAAUGCCACCGUGGUGUCCCAGAGCAAGACACUGGUUACCUACACUGCUCCCCGGGCGCCGUACAUAAUGGCAGCCCACUGCUCCUAACACUAGGAUGGGUCAAAUGCAGAGACCGCAUUUCGUUGUCCUAGUACUUGUACUCUGUGCAAUGACAAUAAAGUUGAAUCAUCAUCUUCAAUCUUCUUCAUCAGUUCACCUAUUCAGGCUUAAGUUAGGCACACCUGAAAUGUCUUGAUGAGGAAUGGUUAAUUGAUGUAAUGUUAUUGUCAUAUUUAAUGAACAAUAAAAGAAAAGAUCAUGAAACAAAACAUCUAGAUAGUACAAGAACUAUCAAAAGAAGUGCUCUUUUGAUAGUGUGUAGACUAUGUCAAUGCUAAAUGAGAUUCUACCGAAAAUUUCAGAGGGCACGAACAUGCUUGUUUUAUCUUUUGACUGUGCACGCACACAUGUAUCGACACACGUAUACACACACUUCGGGAUUUGUAGUACCCGAGUGAAAAGUAGAAGAACAAAUUCCACAAAUCCCUUUGAAAAGCAUUUUAGAGUUUUGCCAGACCUUUGAAAAACAUGACCAACAACCAAAGCAAACUUAAGUCGGCAGCUUGCAGAGGAGUGGAGAGGCUGGAGGAGAGAGAACAGAGGCAAUGGAAAAGAAGUCCAGAGGACAGGCAAAAACACAAGUGCUUUGCAACGAGUCCAGUGGUAGAAUUUCUCACCUCUCAAACCAUAUGUGCCCACAAUAACCUCAGACAAAAUUCUUUUCAUUUCUGGGUUGCUCUUAACCAUUUUUCUUUCUGUGCUUUCUCUGUGUCUAACAUAAAACCAGUAAAGUAUGCUAGAUAUACUACUGUACUUUGAAU